AAAACAUGUCUUAUUGAUUAUAAUUUUAAGUCUAAUCUGCCCAAUGAUAUUUUAUUUAAUGGCUGCAGUAUUUAUAACUGUACAAAGGUAGCAUAAUAAUUAGUUUUUUAAUUGAAAACUAGAAUGAAAGAUUAAAUGAAAUAUAUACUAUAUAAAUAAAAUUAAAAAUUAAAAUUAAAAUUUAAGUAAAAAUUCUUAAAUUAUUUUAAAAGACGAGAAGACCCUAUAGAAUUUUAUUUUUUAUUAUUUUAAGAUUUAAUAAUAAAUUUAAAUAAAUAAUAAAAAAUUUAAUUGGGGUAAUUUUAAAAUUAAAUUAAUUUUUAUUUAAAAAACAUAAAUUAAUGAAUUUUUAAUCCUAAAAUUUAGAUUAAAAAAAUAAAUUACCUUAGG
rnacentral:rRNA from 1 species